rnacentral:lncRNA from 1 species
GGGCGAUGCCAGGGCCCCUCCCCCACCAUUGUUCUGGAGAGACCAUAGGUCCAUCUGUUGCCCCAUGGUGGGGCCCCUAGGCAGUGCCACACGGGAGCAGCACCACAAAGGACCCUGCUGGCAGCUUUGCUUAUGUGGGGUGCAGAGGCAGGUGGCUGCAGCUCACCUUCCCUCCAUGGCAUGAUCUCCCAGCUCUGACCCUUGACCUGUUCCCUCGCGGCAUCUCCACAGGGCUAGAAGGUGAACCCUACUUCCUUUACCAGGUCCUCUGGUUUCUCUUCCCAGGCCAGGACCUAAACCGUUCACAACUCCCAGCAGGCCAGAGCUGCAGAGACCUCAGAUAGAGACUAUAAAGUGCUGUGGAAGCCUUGUUCAAAUAAAAACUUUCAUGAAUGUCC